UGGCCACCACGGGGAGGUUCAUGUGGUGGGAGACGUCGGCACGACGUGGGGAGGUCGAGACGUCCGGAUUUUCUUUUUAACUGCGGGCCAUAUGGAUUGGGGGAAGAAGGUUGGGUUGGGCAAUUUUUUCUGUAUCUUUAGCAAAUCAUUUUCCGGAUUGGGGAAUAACGGUCGGGUCAGACAUUUCUUUUUUCUUAUGGAUCUUUAGAGAAUCAUUUUCUACCACUUAUGGAUGGGAGCGUUUGGUAAUUGUUUUCUGAAUCUUUAGCAAAUCGUUUUUUGGAUUGGCGAACAAUGGUCGGGUCGGGCAGCUCAUUUUUCUGGAUCUUUAGCGAAUCGUUUUCUACCACUUAUGGAUGAGAGUGGUGUGUAAUUGUUUUUCUCGAUCUUUAGCAAAUCGUUUUUCAGACUAGGGAACAAUGGUCUGGUCGACAGCUCUUUUCUCCGGACCUUCAGAGAAUCAUUUUCUACCACUUUUGGAUGGAAGUGGUGGGUAAUUGCUUUUUCUGGAUCUUUAGCAGAUCUUUUUCCAGAUUGGGUAACAAGGGUCGGGUCGGCAAGUUUUUUUCUGGAUCUUUAGCAAAUUGUUUACUACCACUUAUGGUUGGGAGUGGUGAGUAAUUUUUCUCUGGAUCUGUAGCAAAUCAUUUUCCUGAUUGGGGAACAAUGGUUGGGUCGGACAGCUCUUUUUUUCUUGAUCUUUAGCAAAUUAUUUUCUACCACAUAUGGAUGGCAGUGGUGGGUAAUUUUUUUGCAACUUCAUGGGCAAUUUUAGGACGGACGGGCAGAAGAAAGAAUCCCUUUAUUAGUGUUCAAGAAAACAUUGUGGUAGUGAAGUAUAUUAUGGUCAUUUGUGUUGUGGUAGAGACACUUUCUUUUAUUAGGGCCAGGACAGACGGGCAUAAGCACGCACCACAGAUACAUAAACUUAUGAUUAUUUGUGUUUUGGUAGAGGCACUUUCUUUUAUUAGGGUCAUUUACAUUGUUUCUAUUUGAGGUAGUGAAGUAUAUUAUGCCAAUGAGAUAUUGUACGCAUUCCUUAUUUUUGAGACGUUUUUAAGAGGGAAAGUUAUUACUAACCAACUCCUCGGAUUAAAUUAAAAGGUGUCUAUGAAGGCCAUGUUUUUUGAUUAUUUUUCUCAAGCGGGUAUAGCCGGAUUCGAGUGGCCCAUGCACACGACAAACCAACCCUGCCCCACUCGCAAUAUAUACGGGUCCGGCCCCAUAUCAAACAUAUGGAAAAGAAUAUGUCAUGGAGAGGAUAAGGUUGGGAGAGUUUACGGUGGGUGGGCCCCAUAGGCAGUGCAUGUCUAGCGUAGGAGCAGGUCUACAUGAGGAAAAUAUUAGUCGGUUGAAUAAGGCUGUUCCAUCUUUCAGACGUUUUAAAGAUGGAAAGUGUAUGUGUUAUCAUCUGCUAAAUCUCAAAUUAAUGUGUCUAUAUGAAGGCCAUUAUCUAGUGAGUAUUUU
rnacentral:lncRNA from 1 species